rnacentral:rRNA from 1 species
UACGUAGGGGCCUAGCGUUGUCCGGAUUUAUUGGGCGUAAAGAGCUCGUAGGCGGUUCGGUAAGUCAGGUGUGAAAUCUCCACGCUCAACGUGGAGGCGCCACCUGAAACUGCCGUGACUAGAGUCCGGUAGGGGAGUGUGGAAUUCCCGGUGUAGCGGUGAAAUUCGUAGAUAUCGGGAGGAACACCGGUGGCGAAGGCGGCGACCUGGGUAGAUACUGACGCUGAGGUGCGAAAGCGUGGGGAGCAAACAGG